rnacentral:rRNA from 1 species
GACGUAGGGCGCGAGCGUUGUCCGGAUUUAUUGGGCGUGAAGAGCUCGUAGGCGGCUUGUUGCGUCGACUGUGAAAACCCGCGGCUUAACUGCGGGCUUGCAGUUGAUACGGGCAGGCUAGAGUUCGGUAGGGGAGACUGGAAUUCCUGGUGUAGCGGUGAAAUGCGCAGAUAUCAGGAGGAACACCAAUGGCGAAGGCAGCUCGCUGGGACGGUACUGACGCUGAGACGCGAAAGCGUGGGGAGCAAACAGG